rnacentral:rRNA from 1 species
GAUGAACGCUAGCUACAGGCUUAACACAUGCAAGUCGAGGGGCAUCAGGAAGAAAGCUUGCUUUCUUUGCUGGCGACCGGCGCACGGGUGAGUAACACGUAUCCAACCUGCCCUUUACUCGGGGAUAGCCUUUCGAAAGAAAGAUUAAUACCCGAUAGCAUAAUGAUUCCGCAUGGUUUCAUUAUUAAAGGAUUCCGGUAAAGGAUGGGGAUGCGUUCCAUUAGGUUGUUGGUGAGGUAACGGCCCACCAAGCCUUCGAUGGAUAGGGGUUCUGAGAGGAAGGUCCCCCACAUUGGAACUGAGACACGGUCCAAACUCCUACGGGAGGCAGCAGUGAGGAAUAUUGGUCAAUGGGCGCUAGCCUGAACCAGCCAAGUAGCGUGAAGGAUGAAGGCUCUAUGGGUCGUAAACUUCUUUUAUAUAAGAAUAAAGUGCAGUAUGUAUACUGUUUUGUAUGUAUUAUAUGAAUAAGGAUCGGCUAACUCCGUGCCAGCAGCCGCGGUAAUACGGAGGAUCCGAGCGUUAUCCGGAUUUAUUGGGUUUAAAGGGAGCGUAGGUGGACUGGUAAGUCAGUUGUGAAAGUUUGCGGCUCAACCGUAAAAUUGCAGUUGAUACUGUCAGUCUUGAGUACAGUAGAGGUGGGCGGAAUUCGUGGUGUAGCGGUGAAAUGCUUAGAUAUCACGAAGAACUCCGAUUGCGAAGGCAGCUCACUGGACUGCAACUGACACUGAUGCUCGAAAGUGUGGGUAUCAAACAGGAUUAGAUACCCUGGUAGUCCACACAGUAAACGAUGAAUACUCGCUGUUUGCGAUAUACAGUAAGCGGCCAAGCGAAAGCAUUAA